AUAUAUUUUAUAUUAAUCAAUAAAUGGCUUUAAACUCUGUUCUUAUCAGCUUGAUAUCUGAUACGGUCUCCAUCGGAGACCUUCGAUAUUAACCUGAUUUUUGGAACGGGGCGGGAAAGGGGGCUUGCUCCCUCCCCGCCGCGGGUUGCUCUGGCCUGGCACUUAUUGCCAGAGAUAGCCCACCCCCU